GACAGCCAGGAUCCUAAAGGGGCGGAUCCGCAAAGAAGCGCCUCGCACCCGCGAUGGCCGCCUCUGGUGCUCCGCUCUGGGCGGUCUGCGUACUGCGGCUGGCGCUGGCCACCGUCUACUUCCAGGAGGAGUUUCUAGACGGAGAGCGCUGGAGGAACCGAUGGGUGCAGUCCACCAACGACUCCCAGCUGGGGCAUUUUAGACUCUCGUCGGGGAAGUUUUACGGUCAUAAGGAGAAGGACAAAGGUCUGCAGACCACUCAGAAUGGCCGAUUCUAUGCCAUCUCUGCACGGUUCAAACCAUUCAGCAAUAAAGGGAAGACUCUGGUCAUUCAGUACACAGUGAAACACGAGCAGAAGAUGGACUGUGGAGGAGGCUACAUUAAGGUUUUCCCUGCAGACGUAGAUCAGAAGAACCUGAAUGGAAAAUCCCAGUACUAUAUUAUGUUCGGACCUGAUAUUUGUGGAUUUGAUAUCAAGAAAGUUCAUGUUAUUUUACAUUUCAAGAAUCAGUAUCACUCAAACAAGAAAUCAAUCAGAUGUAAGGUCGAUGGCUUUACACACCUCUACACUCUGAUUUUACGACCAGAUCUCACUUAUGAAGUGAAAAUUGAUAGUCAGUCGAUUGAAGCCGGCAGCAUAGAAUAUGACUGGAACCUCACAUCACUGAAGAAAAUGGAGAAGUCUUCAGCAGAGUCCAAGGAUUGGGCCCAGGCUAAAGAUGACAAAUCCCAGGACUGGGAGAAGCAUUUUCUGGAUGCCAGUGCCAGCAAGCCAAGCGACUGGAACAGUGAACUGGACGGGGACUGGCCGGCACCGAUGCUGCAGAAGCCUCCAUACCAGGAUGGCCUCAAGCCAGAGGGUAUUGAUAAAGAUGUUUGGCUCCAUCAGAAAAUGAAAAACACCAACUAUUUGACGGAGUAUGACCUCUCAGAAUUUGAGAACAUUGGUGCCAUCGGACUGGAGCUGUGGCAGGUGAGAUCUGGAACCAUCUUUGAUAACUUUCUGAUCACAGACGAUGAAGAGUAUGCUGAGAAUUUUGGCAAGACCACCUGGGGUGAAACCAAGGUCAAGAACAGAACGUUAGCAGAGCUCCAGGAACCUCCUCCCACCCCCUCCCAGCUGGCACCCACCCCCAAAGCAAGUAAUGGAAGUAAUCCGUAGAGGGAUUUGACCUCCUUUUGAAACUGUAUAAAUGGAACAGCCAAUACUGACUCGCUCAGGCAGUGUUCUGAGGUGCACUCGUGUUACCACAUGCAACAGUAGUGGGUUCCUGCUGUGUGAAUAUUCCAGAAGGUAUGUAUCCGUUCUCUGCAGCUCUGGGUUGCUUCCAGCUUGUGGCCUCCUGAAUAAAGCUGUUAUAAUCAUUCCUGUAUGUGCCUUUCGGUGGACACGUGCACAGGAGCGGACAGGCUGGGUCACAGGGCCCCACACAGCCCAACAGUUUUCAAUGUGUCAUCCUAUUUUACAUUCCCUUCUGUGGGGAUGAGAGCUUCAGUUUGUGCCACAUCUCUGGCCAUGCGUGGUCUUACUGCCAGUUGUUGAUGAGUCAGCUUUAUGGAAGCGUAAUUUACACACUGUAAAAUUUACCCUUUCUAGGUGUGUACUUCUAUGGAUUUUGUCAAACGCGUACAGUUGUGAAAUCACCACCAAAAAUCAAGUUGUGGAACAGUUUUAUCACCCCCAAAAGUCUUCUUGUAGCCAAGCCCUCCAGCACUCCAGGCCACCACUGAUCUGAUACCUGCCCCGUAGUUCUGCCUUUUCCGGAACACUGUGGCCCAGAAAGGGAGAUGGAUGCCAUACUGGCCAAAGAAGAAAUGAAGAAGGCCCACGAGGAAGAUGAGGAGGAGCUGCUGAUGGGCAAGUUUAAUGGGCAAGAAAGUCACUUCCGUAGGUUUCACAGGAGGGACGAAU